rnacentral:rRNA from 1 species
AGAAUCAACGCUGGCGGCGUGCCUAAUACAUGCAAGUCGAACGCGAAAGCCCCGCAAGGGGCAAGUAGAGUGGCAAACGGGUGAGUAACGCGUGGGCGACCUACCUUCGAGUGGGGGGAUAACCUUCCGAAAGGAGGGCUAAUACCGCAUGACAUCCCGUGUUUGGAUACACGGAUAUCAAAGCUGGGGAUCGCAAGACCUGGCGCUUGAAGAGGGGCCCGCGUCCGAUUAGCUAGUUGGUGGGGUAACGGCCUACCAAGGCGACGAUCGGUA